rnacentral:rRNA from 1 species
GCAUGAAGCUGGAAUCGCUAGUAAUCGCGAAUCAGAAUGUCGCGGUGAAUACGUUCCCGGGUCUUGUACACACCGCCCGUCACACCAUGGGAGCCGACAACGCCCGAAGUCAGUGACCUAACCGAGAGGGAGGAGCUGCCGAAGGCGGGGUUGGUAACUGGGGUGAAGUCGUAACAAGGUAAC